UGCUGUACCUGCAGACGGCCUGGUGCCAUGUACACCUUGCUCCCAGGUGCCACUGGGGGGGGGGCAUGGGGGCGGGAUCAGGGGUCAGAGUAGAAAAGUCUCCUUCAGUGGUUCAAGGACAAUGUAAAUGAGCAGUGCUCUGGCAGAGUCAUGGUCCAGAUAAGACAAGACACAGGUCUGAGGAGGGGGCUCUAGCAGCAGGACCCUACUGCAAGCAGGACGCCUGGCCUUGGGGACUACAGGCGGCUGGGAGAGGAGGAUUUCUUGGGGGCGGUGCAAACCCAGUAGGAUGUCAACAUCCCCCAGCUCCCUGCCCAGACGGCCCAACUGUCGCCAGGAUUCCUGGGGGAUGGGGCUUGGGGGGGGAGAGGCUGGCAAGGUGAGUACAGGCCUACGCAAGUGGGACUCAACAGGGAGACUGAGGAAGUCUGAGGGCCCCUGGGCUCCUACAGGAAAUCUGGAUGCUUUCCUAGGCCGGUGUGUGUUUGGAAACAAAGCUGAGCUGGUUUCACAAGAUGGGGAGAUGGCCAUGGCUGUGAGAAAGGCAUUGGAACCCAGGCCCUGACCCUGAAAAAUCCAGAUGCUGCCAAACGCGCCCUUUCUCAUACUUUCCCCUCCAGCCCUGGGCUCCUAAGUGCGCUGCCCAGGAAGGACAAGGCUUCAGCCACCCACUCUGGUCGGCCCCACCCAGAGAUCCAAGUUCCUGUUUACAGCCCUUUCCUGGAACAGCUUGUUUUGAUCCAAAGAAACCUGCUGACGCAUUGCCUGCUCUCCUCCUCCCUCAGGGUGGAGGUAUUUUUAGCCUUAUUUGCAGAAAAAGAGGCAGAAUCCAGGCCUCUCCUUGGUCCCCCUUACUGUGAGACUGUCUUGACCCCCACCCCCAAGGCAGGACAGGGAUGGAUGUCUCUGUGUGGUUUUUCUACUGUUAAAAAAUAAAAUUCAACUGAGUAAACUUAAAGACCCAGCUGGCCAUAUUCAAUGAUUCAUCAAUUAGGCCAAUGUUCCAUCUAAUAAACAGAAAGCUCUAAGGCACCCUACAAAAUAGAAGGGCUUCAUAGACAGAAAUAGGAUACGACAAGGAGGAUAUUAGCAAAAGAGACAUUGUUUCAAGCAAGGUCACCUUUCUUUGAAGGGAAGAGCCAAGGGACCUUAUGAAACAGCUUAC
rnacentral:lncRNA from 1 species